GGGGUUGUAGCUCAGUUGGUUAGAGUACUGGCCUGUCACGCCAGGUGCCGCGGGUUCAACUCCCGUCAACCCCG
rfam:Spirochaetes bacterium GWF1_51_8 gwf1_scaffold_56, whole genome shotgun sequence.